rnacentral:rRNA from 1 species
AGUGAACGCUGGCGGUAGGCCUAACACAUGCAAGUCGAACGGCAGCACAGAAAGAGCUUGCUCUUACGGGUGGCGAGUGGCGGAAGGGAGAGGAGUACAUCGGAAUCUACUUUUUCGUGGGGGACAACGUAGGGAGACUUACGCUAAUACAGCAUAAGACCUACGGGGGAAAGCAGGGGAGCUUCGGACCUUGCGCGAUGGAAUGAGCCGAUGACUGAUUAGCUAGUUGGCGGGGUAAAGGCCGACCAAGGCGGCGAUCGGUAGCUGGGCUGAGAGGAUGAACCCCCACACUGGAACUGUAACGCGGUCCUGACUCCGACGGGAGGCCGCAGUGGGGACUAUUGGACAAUGGGCGCAAUCCUGAUCCAGCCAUGCCGCGUGGGUGCAGAAGGCCUUCGUGUUGUAAAGCCCUUUUGUUGUGAAAGAAAAGCAGCACUUUAAUACCCCGCUUUUCUGACGGUACCCUAAGGAUAAGCACCGGCUAACUUCGUG